CUAGCCUGCGCCUCGUCACUGCAAAUUCAGUGACCGGGCGUGAGAACCCGUCCU
rnacentral:ncRNA from 1 species